AAGAACCAUGAUUUUGAGAUGAUUGUCGAUAUUUGAAAGACAACAAAACGUGAGAUUGGAAUGACUUCGAAGCGUCUGAAGAAUAUCUGAAGCUGUCAAAAUGGAACGUUUUAAAAUCGAUUCGAAAAAAAAUUGGAAACAAAGCGUCGUGCGUUGGCAUCUUUAGAAACAGAGCUGUAUUGGAUACUUCUGGAUGACAUGGGACAGAUAUAAAACACUCCAUCAAUACGUAAG